rnacentral:lncRNA from 1 species
AGAUCCUCAGGUCUCAGUAAGUCCCCAAGGGGCUGGCGGGGGGUGAGUUUUUGAGAAAUGUCAUCAAGGGUUAUAACCGAAAACGAAGCCAUUUAUGAAUCUGGUUUUGAAUCAAGAUCCUGUGUUCACUAAGAUUACCUAUACAACUAAAAAUCUAAGAAGAAAUCAUUGCCCAUGUGGAGUUUCUAACAAAUUUUUUUUUUCUUUUUUAAGGUCUCACCCACAGCCUAUGGAAGUUCCCAGGCUAGGAGUCCAAUUGGAGCUACAGCUGCCGGUCUACACCACAGACAUAGCAAUGCAGGAUCCAAGCCUGGUCUGUGACCUACACCACAGCUCACGGCAACACCAGAUCCUUAAUCUACUGAGCAAGGCCAGGGAUAGAACCUGCGUCCUCACGGAUGCUAGUCAGAUUCUUUUCUGUUGAGCCCCAAUAGGACCUCCCUCUACCAACUGUUUUCAUGUCACCGUGAAAGGUGUCAGGGAUGAGAUCAAUGUAAGUGAAAAUGCAAGUGUCUUCGUUCACAGAACAGGAAAGAUUGGCAUGAGCUGGCAUCAGGUUAAUUGGGAACAUCAAUCAAAGCCCUGAAAGUGAUGCUGGCAGAAACCGAGCAGGUCUCUGUGAGGCAGAAGAGCCAGGACUUGGGCUCGGAGCUUGUCUGCAGGUGGUGCUUUGACGGGAGCACCCCAGGCGGGCGCAGAGCCCAACUACAGCCGCCUCUGGGGUCUCCCAGGCUUUGAAGGUAAACCCAUCGGCCUGGCAUCCACGAACGUUUCAGCCAGAUGUGCAGCCCUUGGAACGAGAACGUGAACGACUGCUUUGAAGAUGAAAAGCCCUGGGAGCAAGGGAGCCCCUUUAUUACUGCCCAGAGCGCCCCGGCUCCGCGCCUGCAUCACUGCUCUGCUCCAGCUGGUGAAAGGCAAACCCAGCCGGAAAUGCCAAGUGUGGGGAUGAGGAGCUAGGAAAUACUGGGGGUGGGAGAAGGGAAAGGGUGGGUGCCCAUGCUUUGAAAUUCUGCCCCGGAAAGGCCUCAUCAGUGGAUCGCCUUCCAACCUGCCCCAGUACAACAACUGGAUGUGGCAUGUGACAGGCACUGUGGCCAGAUCGCGUUUCACACAUGCAGCUGUAAUAUCUGGCACACAGGUGUUUGGUUCUGUGUGUGUGCCAGCUGCUCUGCAGCGCCCUGCUUCUCUGGAUGGGGCGGGGGAGGGGAGACCCUCACACUUGUUGCAGCCCAAAGCUAGGAGGGGGCUGGAAAUUCCUGCCAGGGGGGCCCGAGUGCUCCGCGUAGGCUUCGGGGUUUGCAUCUCAGGGUCCCGGGCCUCUGCGCAUGUGCUGUCCCAGGACCAGAGCUGUGGCUGCAGAGGGUGGGAGAGGGGGGUGACGUGGACGCCUCCAGAAAGCUGGCACGGGGCCCCAGGAACGGGGCGGAGGUCAGGGGGCUGGGCACAGUAGGUCCCCGCGCUCUUGGAUCGGGAAGACUCGUGUUCAGUCCCCAUUCCACCUCCGAGUAAAUGAGGUGGUGACAGCUC